GCCAAGGUGGAGAAAAGCCUUGUGCAGUGAUGUAUUUUUGGCACAAUGAUAAAUGUCAUCUUUUCCAGAAAGUGACUGUGGAGGCUGUUUCUAAAGAAACAUAAAGAUUUACCAUCUCUGCUGGAAAUGCUUUGGAAACCUGGGGUG